rnacentral:rRNA from 1 species
CGACCCCAGGUCAGGCGGGGCUACCCGCUGAGUUUAAGCAUAUCAAUAAGCGGAGGAGAAGAAACUUACGAGGAUUCCCCUAGUAACGGCGAGCGAACCGGGAACAGCCCAGCUUGAGAAUCGGGCGGCCACGCCGACCGAAUUGUAGCAAA